rnacentral:rRNA from 1 species
GAUGAACGCUGGCGGCGUGCCUAAUACAUGCAAGUCGCGCGAAUGGAUUAAGAGCUUGCUCUUAUGAAGUUAGCGGCGGACGGGUGAGUAACACGCGGGUAACCUGCCCAUAAGACUGGGAUAACUCCGGGAAACCGGGGCUAAUUCCGGCUAACAUUUUGAACCGCAUGGUACGAAACUGAACGGCGGCUUCGGCUGCCCCUUAGGGAUGGACCCGCCUCGCAUUAUCUAGUUGGUGAGGGAACGGCUCACCAAGGCAACGAUGCGGAGCCGACCUGAGGGGGUGAUCGGCCACGCUGGGACUGAGACACGGCCCAGACUCCUACGGGAGGCAGCAGUAGGGAAUCUUCCGCAAUGGACGAAAGUCUGGCGGAGCAACGCCGCGUGAGUGAUGAAGGCUUUCGGGUCGUAAAACUCUGUUGUUAGGGAAGAACAAGUGCUAGUUGAAUGGGCUGGCACCUUGACGGUACCUAACCAGAAAGCCACGGCUAACUACGUGCCAGCCGCCGCAGUAA